GACGAACGCUGGCGGCGUGCCUAAUACAUGCAAGUAGAACGCUGAAGCUUGGUGCUUGCACCGAGCGGAUGAGUUGCGAACGGGUGAGUAACGCGUAGGUAACCUGCCUGGUAGCGGGGGAUAACUAUUGGAAACGAUAGCUAAUACCGCAUAACAGUAGAUAUCGCAUGAUAUGUGCUUGAAAGGUGCAAUUGCACCACUACCAGAUGGACCUGCGUUGUAUUAGCUAGUUGGUGAGGUAACGGCUCACCAAGGCAACGAUACAUAGCCGACCUGAGAGGGUGAUCGGCCACACUGGGACUGAGACACGGCCCAGACUCCUACGGGAGGCAGCAGUAGGGAAUCUUCGGCAAUGGACGGAAGUCUGACCGAGCAACGCCGCGUGAGUGAAGAAGGUUUUCGGAUCGUAAAGCUCUGUUGUAAGAGAAGAACGAGUGUGAGAGUGGAAAGUUCACACUGUGACGGUAUCUACCAGAAAGGAC
rnacentral:rRNA from 1 species